UACGGGGGGGGCAAGCGUUGUUCGGAAUUACUGGGCGUAAAGGGCUCGUAGGUGGCCAACUAAGUCAUACGUGAAAUCCCUCGGCUUAACCGGGGAACUGCGUCUGAUACUGGAUGGCUUGAGGUUGGGAGAGGGAUGCGGAAUUCCAGGUGUAGCGGUGAAAUGCGUAGAUAUCUGGAGGAACACCGGUGGCGAAGGCGGCGACCUGGGUCGAGACUGACGCUGAGGCGCGAAAGCGUGGGGAGCAAACAGG
rnacentral:rRNA from 1 species